GACGGAGGGGGCUAGCGUUGUUCGGAAUGACUGGGCGUAAAGGGCGCGUAGGCGGUUUUUUAAGUGAGGCGUGAAAGCCCUGGGCUUAACCCAGGAGGUGCGUUUCAUACUGGAAAGCUUGAGUGCGAGAGAGGAAAGUGGAAUUCCUAGUGUAGAGGUGAAAUUCGUAGAUAUUAGGAAGAACACCAGUGGCGAAGGCGGCUUUCUGGCUCGUAACUGACGCUGAGGCGCGAAAGCGUGGGGAGCAAACAGG
rnacentral:rRNA from 1 species